UACGAAGGGGGCUAGCGUUGUUCGGAUUUACUGGGCGUAAAGCGCACGUAGGCGGAUCGAUCAGUCAGGGGGUGAAAUCCCAGAGCUCAACUCUGGAACUGCCUUUUGAUACUGUCGAUCUAGAGUAUGGAAGAGGUGAGUGGAAUUCCGAGUGUAGAGGUGAAAUUCGUAGAUAUUCGGAGGAACACCAGUGGCGAAGGACGG
rnacentral:rRNA from 1 species